rnacentral:tRNA from 1 species
GGGGAGGUGCCAGAGUGGUUGAAUGGGACGGUCUCGAAAAUCGUUGUAGAUUUCGGUCUACCGUGGGUUCGAAUCCCACCCUCCCCG